rnacentral:rRNA from 1 species
GGACAACCUACCCUUAGGACCGGGAUAACCCUGGGAAACUGGGGAUAAUACUGGAUAGGCAAUUUUUCCUGUAAUGGUUUUUUGUUUAAAUGUUUUUUCGCCUAAGGAUGGGUCUGCGGCCGAUUAGGUAGUUGGUUAGGUAAUGGCUUACCAAGCCGUUGAUCGGUACGGGUUGUGAGAGCAAGAGCCCGGAGAUGGAACCUGAGACAAGGUUCCAGGCCCUACGGGGUGCAGCAGGCGCGAAACCUCCGCAAUGUGAGAAAUCGCGACGGGGGGAUCCCAAGUGCUAUUCUUAACGGGAUGGCUUUUCAUUAGUGUAAAGAGCUUUUGGAAUAAGGGCUGGGCAAGACCGGUGCCAGCCGCCGCGGUAACACCGGCAGCUCUAGUGGUAGCAGUUUUUAUUGGGCCUAAAGCGUCCGUAGCCGGUUUAAUAAGUCUCUGGUGAAAUCCUGUAGCUUAACUGUGGGAAUUGCUGGAGAUACUAUUAGACUUGAGACCGGGAGAGGUUAGAGGUACUCCCAGGGUAGAGGUGAAAUUCUGUAAUCCUGGGAGGACCGCCUGUUGCGAAGGCGUCUAACUGGAACGGUUCU